GCGUCCGAGUUGUAAUUUGGAGGGAUAUCUUCGGGGAUGGCGCCGUCCUAAGUUCCUUGGAACAGGACGUCACAGAGGGUGAGAAUCCCGUGCCUGGAUGGCUGCCCAUCUCCAUGUGAAGUGUCUCCGACGAGUCGAGUUGUUUGGGAAUGCAGCUCAAAAUGGGUGGUAAAUUUCAUCUAAAGCUAAAUAUUGGCGAGAGACCGAUAGCGCACAAGUAGAGUGAUCGAAAGAUGAAAAGCACUUUGAAAAGAGAGUUAAAAAGUACGUGAAAUUGUUGAAAGGGAAGCGCUUGCGACCAGACUCGAUCUUUGGUGAUCAUCCGCGCCACUUGGGCGUAGUGCCCUCGCCACUGAUCGGGCCAGCAUCGGUUCCGAGGGCGACUUAAAAGGUCGGGGAACGUGGCUUCCUUCGGGGAGUGUUAUAGACCCGGCCAUAAUGUCGCCACUUGGGACCGAGGACCGCGCUUCGGCUAGGAUGCUGGCGUAAUGGUCUUAAGCGACCCGUCUUGAAACACGGACCAAGGAGUCUAACAUCUAUGCGAGUGUUCGGGUGGAAAACCCUUGCGCGUAAUGAAAGUGAACGGAGGUGUGAACCCGCAAGGGUGCAACAUCGACCGGUCCUGAUGUCUUCGGAAGGAUCUGAGUAAGAGCAUAGCUGUUGGGACCCGAAAGAUGGUGAACUAUGCCUGAAUAGGGUGAAGCCAGAGGAAACUCUGGUGGAGGCUCGCAGCGGUUCUGACGUGCAAAUCGAUCGUCAAAUUUGGGUAUAGGGGCGAAAGACUAAUCGAACCAUCUAGUAGCUGGUUCCUGCCGAA
rnacentral:rRNA from 1 species